rnacentral:rRNA from 1 species
UUUGUCCUACGGGGCGCAGCAGUGGGGAAUAUUGCGCAAUGGGCGAAAGCCUGACGCAGCGACGCCGCGUGAGGGAUGAAGGUCUUCGGAUCGUAAACCUCUGUCAGCAGGGAAGAACGGUCACUGUGCUAAUCAGCAGUGAAUUGACGGUACCUGCAAAGGAAGCACCGGCUAACUCCGUGCCAGCAGCCGCGGUAAUACGGAGGGUGCGAGCGUUAAUCGGAAUUACUGGGAGUAAAGCGCUGGUAGGCGGUAUGUCAAGUCAAGGGAGAAAUCCCCGCG